CUCAUUACAAAUUUUCUGUCUUUGUGACUGUGAGCAAUAUUUGGUGCGUUUUGAAAAGCUACCGUUAUUCUCGCAUCGCCCUCAUGACGUUACCACUAGUUUCAUUCACUCAGCGCGUGUUUGCUGUGUCUUCUGAGGCUCAGUUUUCCUAUAAAUGCCAGAAUAUUCUCAUCAGCCUACAAGUGAAGACAGUUUACUGAAGGACAGUGAGCACAUGACAGAUCCAGAACCCUGCAGAAUGAAACACACUGAAAAACAAACAGGUGAACUCUCUCAGGAGGAGUUUAUGGAGGGCAUUCAGGCUGACGAGGUUCUGUUGAAGAUGUUGACUCAGAGUUUGGAUCUGACUCGUGUAUCGUCAAAAAAAUCUACAGCGAGAUCAACUCUGAGCAGCAGCUGCACUGAUCCCAGACCAGCUGAUGAUGAUGAAGAUGAUGGCUGUUGUGCAGGUUCUGCAGCAGGUCAAUUCGCAGCUAGUUUCUCCUGGUGUAUUUCUCAUCUUAGAAGCUGAACUUUACCAUUGAGUGAGGACGUUUAAACCCUCAACACAUGAGAAAUAUCCAGUAUUUACCGUGUUUUACUGUGUUACUCUCAGCUGGACUGAAAAUCUUAAUGUAAUCUCACAGAAUAACAUUAGUGAUGGAAACUCGAGCAAACCCUGUUUAUUCAAGUGCACUUAUACACUAAAACCUUGAAUCAUUCCUGUAAAAUACAACAUUCUUCAGUCCUGUGAUGUGUGUGUGUGCAUGCAUAUAUAUAUAUAUAU